ensembl:lncRNA
UUAAUUGAUUUCAGUGCAUACAUUCAGAUUCAAGCAUUCACACUGCAGUUUCUUCAGAAAAUGCACUUUCUAGUUAUUAUUAUUAUUAUAUUUUAUUAUAUAUUCCGUACGUUUUUUGUACUGUAUCUCCUUCAAAACCGUUCAACUUAGAAAAACCAUUCAAACAUCGUUAGAUUCCACUUCUUUUGGACAUGACUGCUUCUAUUUUUCUCAUUUAUAACAUUUAUAUUUUUAAUUUUAUUCAACUUUUUUCAACAAAAAUUUCCCAUGUAUUUCAAUGGGGAGACCCUUCAAAUCCUCAUUCAACUUACUCAUUUUCAAACUGUAUCUACUUCCACAUACGUUGACAUAGAGCCACCAUUCAAACUUUAAAACGAAGACAAGACAUUCAACUAUUCAACUUGUAUUUAUCUUUUCAAUAUCUGUUAUACUUUUUCUUCAGUUCCAGUUUAAGUUUCAUGAUGUUUUUUCAGCCGUUUCAGAGUUUAUAAUGGGUGUGUAUGGGACGGAAUGUUGGGGCUAGAGUGAGACAGCUCAGCUGCUAGAGUGAGAGGAGCAAAAAAAUUAAUCUUAAAAUCUUUUUAAAACUGCUGCUGUGUCCGCAGCGUUUGCUCUACAGGUCUGAUUUUACCCUCAAAACGUAGCCAUCGCUGUCCUCUUUCAUCCAAUGUGUUUACUAUUGUCCUAGGUGUUAUGGUUCUUUCAUAAAUGUCACCAAAGCACAGACUCCUCCUCCAAGUCCUCCAUAGACUCCAAUGUUAAAAUGGCUCAGAAAGUUCCUUUGAAAAUCAGAAGAGCAGGCUGUCUUUACACUGUCACCACGUCCAUAUAAUAAACUCCACAAGCAUGAAAACUGAGAAUUAGGUAGACUAGACAUUGCUGUCGCUCACGGUGAAAGAAUUUUGUCAAUACGACAUGUACUUUUCAUUUGGGAAGGAUUUGUUUGGGGCUGACUUUUCUGUUCAUUUUAAGCAGCAAAAGUGAGGUGCAUGUCUGUGUGCGUGUGUAUGGAGCCCCUGGCUCAGUCACUAUAGCAACCAGGCUCAUACCUGCCUGCCUAA